rnacentral:rRNA from 1 species
CGUAGGUGGCAAGCGUUGUCCGGAUUUAUUGGGUUUAAAGGGUGCGUAGGCGGUCUUCUAAGUCAGUUGUGAAAUACUUCAGCUUAACUGGAGAGGUGCAAUUGAUACUGGAAGACUUGAGUACUGAUGAGGUAGGCGGAAUGGACGGUGUAGCGGUGAAAUGCUUAGAUAUCGUCCAGAACACCGAUAGCGAAGGCAGCUUACUAAGGAGUAACUGACGCUGAGGCACGAAAGUGUGGGGAUCAAACAGGAUUAGAUACCCUGGUAGUCCACACUGUAAACGAUGAUUACUCGAUGUUGGCGAUAUACAGCCAGCGUCUUAGCGAAAGCGAUAAGUAAUCCACCUGGGGAGUACGCCGGCAACGGUG